GUGGUGGGAGUUACAGAUGUUAUGAACAAGAAACUGCACAGCAGAGAAACAAAAAAGAUCAGCAACAGUUUCUAAAGUCAUGGUUGUUUGCAGAGCCCUAUUCCAGUUACUAUAGCUUUCACAAGGAAUUGAACAAAAUAGAGGAAGCUCAAGAGAGAGAAUAUUUUACUACUAGCCAUGUGGUAAUCCUCAGUCUUGACUCUGAACUAUGUAGCAACGUCAACUUUCACACUUAAGUGGUCCAGAACGCCUUUAAGACAUUACCUGAUCAGUCUUACGGUUGAUAAGAAUCCCCAUAACCUUGCUGAAGAAGCUGGCCAACAGAGGGUUGAGGAUUCCACCAGUCUGAAGGAAGCCAUAGAGACGUCGCAGGAGAGAUUCAU